rnacentral:rRNA from 1 species
GAAAGGCGAAAAGAACCCCGGCGAGGGGAGUGAAACAGAACCUGAAACCGUGUACGUACAAGCAGUGGGAGCCUUCGUAAGAGGGUGACUGCGUACCUUUUGUAUAAUGGGUCAGCGACUUAUAUUCUGUAGCAAGGUUAACCGUAUAGGGGAGCCGGAGGGAAACCGAGUCUGAACCGGGCGUUAAGUUGCAGGGUAUAGACCCGCAACCCGGUGAUCUAGCCAUGGGCAGGUUGAAGGUUGGGUAACACUAACUGGAGGACCGAACCGACUAAUGUUGAAAAAUUAGCGGAUGACCUGUGGCUGGGGGUGAAAGGCCAAUCAAACCGGGAGAUAGCUGGUUCUCCCCGAAAGCUAUUUAGGU